rnacentral:rRNA from 1 species
GACGAACGCUGGCGGCGUGCUUAACACAUGCAAGUCGAACGGAAAGGCCCUGCUUUUGUGGGGUGCUCGAGUGGCGAACGGGUGAGUAACACGUGAGUAACCUGCCCUUGACUUUGGGAUAACUUCAGGAAACUGGGGCUAAUACCGGAUAGGAGCUCCUGCUGCAUGGUGGGGGUUGGAAAGUUUCGGCGGUUGGGGAUGGACUCGCGGCUUAUCAGCUUGUUGGUGGGGUAGUGGCUUACCAAGGCUUUGACGGGUAGCCGGCCUGAGAGGGUGGCCGGCCACAUUGGGACUGAGAUACGGCCCAGACUCCUACGGGAGGCAGCAGUGGGGAAUAUUGCACAAUGGGCGGAAGCCUGAUGCAGCAAUGCCGCGUGCGGGAUGACGGCCUUCGGGUUGUAAACCGCUUUCGCCUGUGACGAAGCGUGAGUGACGGUAAUGGGUAAAGAAGCACCGGCUAACUACGUG